rnacentral:rRNA from 1 species
UUCAGUAGCACGCUCAAGACCCGAAGCGGAGUGAUCUAGCCAUGGGCAGGUUGAAGCGGAGGUAAGACUUCGUGGAGGACCGAACCCACCAGGGUUGAAAACCUGGGGGAUGACCUGUGGUUAGGGGUGAAAGGCCAAUCAAACUCCGUGAUAGCUGGUUCUCCCCGAAAUGCAUUUAGGUGCAGCGUCGUGUGUUUCUUGCCGGAGGUAGAGCACUGGAUAGGCGAUGGGCCCUACCGGGUUACUGACCUUAGCCAAACUCCGAAUGCCGGUAAGUGAGAGCGCGGCAGUGAGACUGUGGGGGAUAAGCUCCAUGGUCGAGAGGGAAACAGCCCAGAGCAUCGACUAAGGCCCCUAAGCGUACGCUAAGUGGGAAAGGAUGUGGAGUCGCAGAGACAACCAGGAGGUUGGCUUAGAAGCAGCCACCCUUGAAAGAGUGCGUAAUAGCUCACUGGUCUAGUGAUUCCGCGCCGACAAUGUAGCGGGGCUCAAGCGUACCGCCGAAGUCGUGUCAUUCCAGCGUAUAGGGCCAACGCCUGCUGGGAUGGGUAGGGGAGCGUCGUGUGCCGGGUGAAGCCGCGCCGGAAGGCAGUGGUGGACGGUUCACGAGUGAGAAUGCAGGCAUGAGUAGCGAUACAAACGUGAGAAACGUUUGCGCCGAUUGACCAAGGGUUCCUGGGUCAAGCUGAUCUGCCCAGGGUAAGUCGGGACCUAAGGCGAGGCCGACAGGCGUAGUCGAUGGAUAACCGGUUGAUAUUCCGGUACCCGCUGUGAAGCGUCAAACAUCGAACCAGGCGAUGCUAAGUCCGUGAAGCCGUCCCGGAGCCUUCGGGCAAAGGGGAGUGGUGGAGCCGACGAACCAGACUUGCAGUAGGUGAGUGAUGGGGUGACGCAGGAAGGUAGUCCAUCCCGGGCGGUGGUUGUCCCGGGGUAAGGGUGUAGGCCGUGAUCUAGGUAAAUCCGGAUCACACAAGGCUGAGACCUGAUGCCGAGCCGAUUGUGGUGAAGUGGAUGAUCCUAUGCUGUCGAGAAAAGCCUCUAGCGAGUUUCAUGGCGGCCCGUACCCUAAACCGACUCAGGUGGUCAGGUAGAGAAUACCGAGGCGUUCGGGUGAACUAUGGUUAAGGAACUCGGCAAAAUGCCCCCGUAACUUCGGGAGAAGGGGGGCCAUCACCGGUGAUAGCACUUGCUGCUUGAGCUGGGGGUGGCCGCAGAGACCAGCGAGAAGCGACUGUUUACUAAAAACACAGGUCCGUGCGAAGCCGUAAGGCGAUGUAUACGGACUGACGCCUGCCCGGUGCUGGAACGUUAAGGGGACCGGUUAGUCACUCUUCGGGGUGGCGAAGCUGAGAACUUAAGCGCCAGUAAACGGCGGUGGUAACUAUAACCAUCCUAAGGUAGCGAAAUUCCUUGUCGGGUAAGUUCCGACCUGCACGAAUGGCGUAACGACUUCUCGACUGUCUCAACCAUAGGCCCGGUGAAAUUGCACUACGAGUAAAGAUGCUCGUUUCGCGCAGCAGGACGGAAAGACCCCGGGACCUUUACUACAGUUUGAUAUUGGUGUUCGGUUCGGCUUGUGUAGGAUAGCUGGGAGACUGUGAAGCUCGGACGCCAGUUCGGGUGGAGUCGUCGUUGAAAUACCAGUCUGGUCGUGCUGGAUGUCUAACCUGGGUCCGUGAUCCGGAUCAGGGACAGUGUCUGAUGGGUAGUUUAACUGGGGCGGUUGCCUCCCAAAGGGUAACGGAGGCGCCCAAAGGUUCCCUCAGCCUGGUUGGCAAUCAGGUGGUGAGUGUAAGUGCACAAGGGAGCUUGACUGUGAGACCGACGGGUCGAGCAGGGACGAAAGUCGGGACUAGUGAUCCGGCGGUGGCUUGUGGAAGCGCCGUCGCUCAACGGAUAAAAGGUACCCCGGGGAUAACAGGCUGAUCUUCCCCAAGAGUCCAUAUCGACGGGAUGGUUUGGCACCUCGAUGUCGGCUCGUCGCAUCCUGGGGCUGGAGUCGGUCCCAAGGGUUGGGCUGUUCGCCCAUUAAAGCGGUACGCGAGCUGGGUUUAGAACGUCGUGAGACAGUUCGGUCCCUAUCCGCUGCGCGCGCAGGAAUAUUGAGAAGGGCUGUCCCUAGUACGAGAGGACCGGGACGGACGAACCUCUGGUGUGCCAGUUGUUCUGCCAAGGGCAUGGCUGGUUGGCUACGUUCGGGAGGGAUAACCGCUGAAAGCAUCUAAGCGGGAAGCCUGCUUCGAGAUGAGUAUUCCCACCCACUUGAUGGGGUAAGGCUCCCAGUAGACGACUGGGUUGAUAGGCCAGAUAUGGAAGCCCAGUAAUGGGUGGAGUUGACUGGUACUAAUAGGCCGAGGGCUUGUCCUC